rnacentral:rRNA from 1 species
GACGAACGCUGGCGGCGUGCUUAACACAUGCAAGUCGAACGGAAAGGCCCUGCUUUUGUGGGGUGCUCGAGUGGCGAACGGGUGAGUAACACGUGAGUAACCUGCCCUUGACUUUGGGAUAACUUCAGGAAACUGGGGCUAAUACCGGAUAGGAGCUCCUGCUGCAUGGUGGGGGUUGGAAAGUUUCGGCGGUUGGGGAUGGACUCGCGGCUUAUCAGCUUGUUGGUGGGGUAGUGGCUUACCAAGGCUUUGACGGGUAGCCGGCCUGAGAGGGUGACCGGCCACAUUGGGACUGAGGUGGGGCCCGGACUCCUACGGGGGGCAGCAGUGGGGAAUAUUGCACGAUGGGCGGAAGCCUGAUGCAGCAACGCCGCGUGCGGGAUGACGGCCUUCGGGUUGUAAACCGCUUUCGCCUGUGACGAAGCGUGAGUGACGGUAAUGGGUAAAGAAGCACCGGCUAACUACGUG